ACCAGGAACAGUUCUGUCAUCAGUAUGCAAAUGUUGUAAUCGUACCAUCUCAUAUCUGUUCACUCCUUUUGCAGGAGCCCGAAGGACCCUCUGCAGAAGAUCAUCAAACGGGUCAAUGGGAUCGAGGGGGACUUCAUCAAAACGCUGGGAUAUAAAAACCAUUAUGUAAGAGUUCCAGAUGGACAUCUGUGGAUCGAGGGGGACCAUCACGGACACAGUUUGGACAGCAACACAUUUGGACCGGUUUCUCUGGGUCUUGUCCAAUGGUCGGGCGUCUCACAUCAUCUGGCCGCCCAGUCGGUUCCAGAGGAUCGAGCCGUCUGUCUCUCCAGAACAAAGACCACUGUUAAACUAGGCUGGAGCAACAGAAGAUGGUUAUGAUGACUGAAAUGAAGCAACCUCAUGUACAGUUAAUGUAAAUCACAUGCUACAGUACGAAUUAUAGAAAUGUUCUUGCUCAAUCUAUGUGGGCCAAAUUGGAGCCCAGGAAAGACUUUACAAUUUUUAGCCACAGUAAUGUUGGAUACUGUCAGUUGUACAUAUUCUAGAUCCAAUGUCAAUUCAAUGAUCAAAUGUCACACAGAAAAAGGCUAAUUCUAUUAUAUUCAUAGUUUUUAGUAAUAAACUACACUGUCAAACA